CAUCUUUUUUCCAGAGUUAACCCCAUAAUAUCAGACUAUGUUUUUUUUUUUUUUUGUGCGCGUCUUUGAUCUUUAAAAGUUUCUUUCAUGUCGCAGGUUGGUGUUCUUAUUGAGGAGCCAUUUCCAAUGUUAGCCCUUGAUGAGCUCUGCAUCGUAACACAGAACAAUAUAAGAGAAGCGAUAGCAACAGAGAAGGAUAUUCAAGCGAUGUUAAAGGGGAAAAGAAAGAGGCAUUCUUACAAACGUUCACCUAAUGGUUGCCCCAACACAUAGUGUAAACAGGGUAAUUGCCGAAGGCUGUGCUUAUUGUGAAAUGUUUUUCACAUUGGUCUUUGCCUUUUGCUAUCUGGAAUUUAGAUGUACAAAAGUACAGUUAAAUGAUUCAUAAAGAAAUGAUAAUCAUAGAAUAUCUAUGUAUAUUGUACACAAUUUUCUGAUAAAUAGAAAAUAAAUUAGCUUCAUAUUGACAUACUGUUUUCUUCUGCAACUUGUAGAGAAUGGUUCUAGAAUUCCGGCAAUUUCUUAUGGACCAAGAUAUCACAUGCCAGCUUCCAAGUGCUAGUUUCUAAACAUGUAACCAACUAAUUGAUGCCUAAUGAUAUGCAUUAACUAUCCCC
rnacentral:lncRNA from 1 species